rnacentral:rRNA from 1 species
CACCGGCAGCUCUAGUGGUAGCUGUUUUUAUUGGGCCUAAAGCGUUCGUAGCCGGUUUGAUAAGUCACUGGUGAAAUCCUGUAGCUUAACUGUGGGAAUUGCUGGUGAUACUGUUGAACUUGAGGUCGGGAGAGGUUAGCGGUACUCCCAGGGUAGAGGUGAAAUUCUGUAAUCCUGGGAGGAUCACCUGUGGCGAAGGCGGCUAACUGGAACGAACCUGACGGUGAGGGACGAAAGCUAGGGGUGCGAACCGG